CCGCGUUUAGAAGAAGCCCUUCGGGUGUAAAGUACUUUCAGCGGGGAGGAAAGCGAUGCGUUAAUAACCGCGUCGAUUGACGUUACCCGCCGAAGAAGCACCGGCUAAUUCCGUGCCAGCAGCCGCGGUAAUACGGAGGGUGCAAGCGUAAUCGGAAUUACUGGGCGUAAAGCGCACGCAGGCGGUCUGUCAAGUCGGAUGUGAAUCCCCGGGCUCAACCUGGGAACUGCAUCCGAAACUGGCAGGCUUGAGUCUCGUAGAGGGGGGUAGAAUUCCAGGUGUAGCGGUGAAAUGCGUAGAGAUCUGGAGGAAUACCGGUGGCGAAGGCGGCCCCCUGGACGAAGACUGACGCUCAGGUGCGAAAGCGUGGGGAGCAAACAGGAUUAGAUACCCUGGUAGUCCACGCCGUAAACGAUGUCGACUUGGAGGUUGUGCCCUUGAGGCGUGGCUUCCGGAGCUAACGCGUUAAGUCGACCGCCUGGGGAGUACGGCCGCAAGGUUAAAACUCAAAUGAAUUGACGGGGGCCCGCACAAGCGGUGGAGCAUGUGGUUUAAUUCGAUGCAACGCGAAGAACCUUACCUGGUCUUGACAUCCACAGAACUUGGCAGAGAUGCCUUGGUGCCUUCGGGAACUGUGAGACAGGUGCUGCAUGGCUGUCGUCAGCUCGUGUUGUGAAAUGUUGGGUUAAGUCCCGCAACGAGCGCAACCCUUAUCCUUUGUUGCCAGCAGUUAGGCCGGGAACUCAAAGGAGACUGCCAGUGAUAAACUGGAGGAAGGUGGGGAUGACGUCAAGUCAUCAUGGCCCUUACGACCAGGGCUACACACGUGCUACAAUGGCGCAUACAAAGAGAAGCAAUCUCGCGAGAGCAAGCGGACCUCAUAAAGUGCGUCGUAGUCCGGAUUGGAGUCUGCAACUCGACUCCAUGAAGUCGGAAUCGCUAGUAAUCGUGAAUCAGAAUGUCACGGUGAAUACGUUCCCGGGCCUUGUACACACCGCCC
rnacentral:rRNA from 1 species